rnacentral:rRNA from 1 species
GACGAACGCUGGCGGCGUGCUUAACACAUGCAAGUCGAACGGAAAGGCCCUUCGGGGUACUCGAGUGGCGAACGGGUGAGUAACACGUGGGUGAUCUGCCCUGCACUUUGGGAUAAGCCUGGGAAACUGGGUCUAAUACCGAAUAUGACCGCGCUCUUCAUGGGGUGUGGUGGAAAGCUUUUGCGGUGUGGGAUGGGCCCGCGGCCUAUCAGCUUGUUGGUGGGGUAAUGGCCUACCAAGGCGACGAAGGGCAGCCGGCCUGCGAGGGUGACCGGCCACACUGGGACUGCGAUAAGGCCCAGACUCCUACGGGAGGCAGCAGUAGGGGAUAUUGCACAAUGGGCGCAAGCCUGAUGCAGCGACGCCGCGUGAGGGAGGCCGGCCUUCGGGUUGUAAACCUCUUUCAAUAGGGACGAAGCGCAAGUGACGGUACCUAUAGAAGAAGGACCGGCCAACUACGUGCCAGCCGCCGCAGUAACAC